UCUCAUGAUGUGACCCUCUAGAGCGAAGCGCUUUCUGUUGGCUAGAAAAGAAUAGGAAGCGCUUCCCUUUAGAGUGUUACGCUUUGAGA
ensembl:miRNA